rnacentral:rRNA from 1 species
UACGAGGGGGGCAAGCGUUGUUCGGAAUUAUUGGGCGUAAAGGGCGCGUAGGCGGUUUGACAAGUCUGAUGUGAAAUCUAUGGGCUCAACCCAUAGCCUGCAUUAGAAACUGUCGGGCUUGAGUAUGGGAGAGGUGAGUGGAAUUUCCGGUGGAGCGGUGAAAUGCGUAGAGAUCGGAAAGAACACCAACGGCGAAAGCACUCUGCUGGGCCGACACUGACACUGAGAGACGAAAGCUAGGGGAGCGAAUGGG